rfam:Dufourea novaeangliae contig2080, whole genome shotgun sequence.
GCCUCUUUAGCUCAGUGGCAGAGCACUGGUCUCGUAAACCAGGGGUCGUGAGUUCAAACCUCACAGGAGGCA